rnacentral:misc_RNA from 1 species
UGCAUGGUAUCACAAGAUCCAGUACCACCGCCCCCCUCCCCCACUUUCAACUCUCUGCGUGUGUGAGGACGACAGUCCGGCAGCCCCUACCUAACCUUUCCCAAUGCUGAGCCACUCCUGGUGGUGGUGGCAGGGCCCGGCGCCCGCAACGCAGGGAAGUUAGAGCGACCGGCGACAGCGCACACGCCUGUGCCGUCCAUGUGAUAGGCAGAGUGCCACGGCUACUCAAAGGUAUCCCACCCCCGGCCCUCACGCUGCUUCCUGGUGUGGGGCGCCUGAGUGCCACACGGAGAGGGACGCACCAGGGGUGGCGACAGGCAUGACAGAAGCGGCUGUGAGGCGACGUGCGCAGCGAGGGGGGUGAGUGUGCAGAGAGUGAGGCGGAGACUGUGCUGAGAUGAUCGAGUCGGCGCACUGCUGUUCUGCUCCUCACCGCCGGUGAUAUGAAGGUGCGCCGUUCUUUUGUGCUGGGCAGCGUUGUGCGUUGCUCACUUUUCCUCGUGCUGCCUGCCGAGCAUCCCUUUCACCAACAGACGAAGAAAAGAAAUGGCAACGCGAUAGCGGCCAUGGUAAUCUGCACCGGCACCAAGAGUCCUACGUAGACGACGAAGCGCCGUGCCUCACGCUGCGCUGCUGCCUGUGCCCUGCCUGAGAUGUGGUGGCCUUUUUUUCUUUUUUCUCUUAGCUUUCCGCACUCUUCUUGGCCGCACACAG